UCUGCGGUUGUCGCCCGUGUCCCUCCGGCCCGUUCCGUGUCGCCCCGCACUGCUGCGGCCGCCGCGGCACCAUGGCUGUGUUUGUCGUGCUCCUGGCGUUGGUGGCGGGUGUUUUGGGGAACGAGUUUAGUAUAUUAAAAUCACCAGGGUCUGUUGUUUUCCGAAAUGGAAAUUGGCCUAUACCAGGAGAGCGGAUCCCAGACGUGGCUGCAUUGUCCAUGGGUUUCUCUGUGAAAGAAGUAUGUAUAUAUUUUUUAAAUGUUUGGAGCUGCUUUUAAGAACAUUUUUACUGAUUUCUGCUAACAGCCCAAGAAAGCAUCAAACGAACGUAGGUACGUUUGGUACAGAUUACAAAAGUUAAAAAGCUCAUCUGGACCAGGCACAGUGGCUCACGCCUGUAAUCCCGGCACUCUGGGAGGCCAAGGUGGGAGGAUCAGUUGAACCCAGGAAUUUGAGACCAGCCUGGGCAACAUAGUGAGACUCCCAUCUCAAUUAAAAAUAAACGAAUUAAUUUUUUAAAAGCCCAUUUGUAGUUGGGAAGAUUUUGGAUAAGCGCUUCAAGCUUGGCUUCUGAAACAAAUCAUUAGAAAUCAUUAACUAUAUAAUUAUUUAUUCAUAGUAGUGAAAUUCUUUGUAUAUUAGAGAAUGCAUCUGUCCUACUGUUAAUAGGAUAUCUGCUUCUUGGUUUUUUUUUUUUUUUUUAGUAUAGGUGAUAGAUUCACUAUGAAUGAUAAAAUAUAUAUGCAUUAUGCCUGAGGUUAGGAAAAUAAUGUGGUCAGUAACCAUGGGGCAGCCAAGGACCUUGGUUUCCUAGAAUGAAGCUAUGACCUGUUGUAGUCAUUGGCUGCUUAUGUGAUUGUAGGGGGUGGGAGGGUCUAGAUCCAGUCAAUGUGAGAGAUCGAAAGGUAAGGGCUCAGAAGAAAGGAAAUGCAGCUUGCUCGGUGCUAUCAUCUCCUUCUCUUUGUAAGUCUGGUGCUUUUGAUGUGGUCUCUAGAUAUAUAUCAUCAGUCACUGAAAGGAACUUUUCUCCAAAUCCUGAGCACCCUUGAAAACAGAAACUCUGCCUGGCAACUGCUUCACUGCCAGGCCUAAGGGCAGAGCACCUGAGCUUUUUGUAGUCUUUGGGCAGCCAAAGUGAACAUGAUUGGUUGUUUACAUUUAAGGAUGAAAUUCGUACCUAGUUAUUUUUUUAGAGACAGGGUCUGGCUGUGUCACCCAAGCUAUUUGAGUCUGCAUGACUCACUGCAGCCUCAAACUCCAGGGCCCAAGUGAUCUUCCUGCCUCAGCCUCCUGCCUCAGCCUUCUGAGUAGCUAGGACUACAGGUGCAUGCCAUCACGCCUGGCUGAUUUUUUAAUUUUUUGUAGAGACAGGGUCUCGCUAUGUUGUCCAGGCUCGUAGGUCUUUAACUCCUGGCCUCAAGCAAUCCUUUCUGCGUCAGCCUCCCAAAGUGCUAGGAUUACAGGCAUGAGCCACCACACCCAGCCUGUACCUAAUUCUUUUUUUGUUUUUUUUUUUUUGCUACAGGGUCCCGCUCUGUCACCCAAGCUAGAGUGCAGUGGCCUGAUCUCGGCUCACUGCAACCUCCACCUCCCAGGUUCAAGAGAUUCUCCCACCUCAGCCUCCCCGGUAGCUGGGACCACAGGCGCACAACACCAUGCCCAGAUCAUUUUUAUAUUUUUUGUAGAGACAGGAUUUUGCCAUGUUGCCCAGGCUGGUCUUGAACUCCUGGACACAAGGAAUCUACCUGCUUCAGCCUCCCAAAGUGCUGAGAUUACAGGCGUGAACACCACACCUGACCAUCUAGUUCUUUACAACCUUAAACUUGACUACAGAUGGCUAUUGAAAUAACUGAGAAAUAAUUAUUAGUAAACUAAUGAUAGUUACUUUUAGUAGGAAUUGUUUUAUUUAUAAAGAGCUUAGUCUAAAGAGGAUGUUUUAAUGACCAUCUUGCUAUGUCGCUGUGAAAGAUAAAAGUGAUGCUGUAUAUGAGGGCAAAAAAUGAUGUAGGGGAAGAAAAUUUACAUGGCUACAUGAAGAAAAUAAUUAUUUUGUGAUCUGAAAUUUGAAAGGUACCUAUGUUUUGUUUACUUGCUUGCUUUUUUCCACAAAAGGUGUGAGAUGACUUACUAUUAGACUUUGUUUCAAAUCUGUAGAAUUUUAAGAAAAUGAAGAGGGUAGAAAUCAGCAUUCUUGAUUAGGGGAUUGCAACGACUGCCACAAAUAAAAUGUUUACUUUCCCUGUGAAUUUUCCUUGUCAGUGUCAUCUUAGAACCCCUUAACUCUGCUUAUUAGAUGUUAUUGGGGAGGUGGGUUCCUGAGUUGAUAAUUAAGUACCGCUUUGUGCUUUUCAAUGUUUAGGACCUUUCUUGGCCAGGACUCGCAGUGGGUAACCUGUUUCAUCGUCCUCGGGCUACUGUCAUGGUGAUGGUGAAGGGAGUGAACAAACUGGCUCUACCCCCAGGCAGUGUCAUUUCGUACCCUUUGGAGAAUGUGAGUAUUUAUUAUAAAAAAUUAAAGGGAUGCGUUUUACAUUUUCCCUUGUCAGCUGUCAUUAUGAAUUGCAUUCUAAACAUACUUCUCUUAUCUGUUUUUGAUGCACAGUUUCUUUUGAAAUUCUUUGACAAACACAAUUUCUUUUUAAGAAAAUUACAUGAUGAUUGUAAUUGACUGAGGCUUGGCUGUUCUCUGUGGAUGAGAGUACUGUUUAAGAUAAGAGAUAGAGAAAUUACCCCACUCAGAAUAGCCAGAGGCUUGAAAAAGAGAGCCACCAAAGGAGAAACCAGUUGGGGUUGUAUCCUGCUGCCGUGUUUUUGGCCAUUGUCUUGUCAUCUUCCCUGCAGGAUUUUACCUCUUUUCGUGUGUAAGGACACUGGAGGCUGCUUGCUGGCUCAUUUACUCCUUCACUGGCCAUUCAGGCAAUGUGGGUGACUGUGCUGAUCUAAGAGGCCCUCCUUCCAUUAUAAGCAUAUAGAAGUGCUUGAAAGAAUGUCACAAAAACAUUUUUACUAGCAUAACUAAAUUUGAAUGCAAGAGGGGGUGGUAUACACAGGUGUUACAUAUGGAUGGAAAACUCAGAAGCCAUAGUGGUGAGCAGGAGCUGAUGCUGAAACUGUGUUUCCUGCAGAAAGCCAGGGACUAGAAAAUGCUGUCAACUUGUUCUUGAAAAGCGGACUAGUAAAACUAGUAAAGCUGGCUUGCUGCCCUUGGCUGUUGGACCCAAAGAGUCCCCUGAGAGAAAUUAGAAUUAGAAUUAUAGGCUUAUGCUGUGCAGAGUGGUUCUUUCCAAAUUCACAUGACCUGCCCCAUAGGGACAUCUCCAUAGCCAAGGGCUCCUUUGGUCGAAUACGGAAGAUGAGUGGAAUUUACAAAGCACCUGAAGGAAAAAAAAAUGCCAUGAGAAACUAGGUGCAACAAACAGAAUUCAUCUCCUUAGAACUACGGAGAAUAGGCCAAUUUCCAAGAGAUCUAAAUAUACAUACAUUAAAAUUGUGAAAAAAAAAGGGCCAGGCAUGGUGGCUCACGCCUGUAAUCCCAGCUUUGGGAGGCCAAGAUGGGAGGAUUGCUUGAGGCCAGGAGUUCGAGACCAGCUUGGUCAACAU
rnacentral:sRNA from 1 species